AGCCCAUAGUGAAUGUUGCAAUCAAGAAAUAGUUAUAAAACCAUGUACAUGGGUGAUAUUUUUAGAUUAUCACAAGUACAAAAAUUAUUUUUAUAUUAGUAAAGCAAUUAGAAUAUGCUUAUCAGUAUCAGCCCACUGAUAUUUGUGAUACCAGUAUCAUCUGACGUGGCUUCUUCUGAUUGGUUACAUUUGACAAAAGCAAAAAAUAUUAUAUAUAUUUAUUAAACAAACAUUAUAAAUAAUACUAAAAAAUAUUCUUGAUGAUAUUUUGUGAGUAUCACCUAUGAACAUGCUCUAAAGAUCAAUAUCUUAAA
rnacentral:sRNA from 1 species